UGGGGAAUAUUGCACAAUGGGGGAAACCCUGAUGCAGCGACACCGCGUGAACGAAGAAGGUAUUCGUAUCGUAAAGUUCUGUCCUAUGGGAAGAUAAUGACAGUACCAUAGAAGAAAGCUCCGGCUAAAUACGUGCCAGCAGCCGCGGUAAUACGUAUGGAGCGAGCGUUGUCCGGAAUUAUUGGGCGUAAAGGGUACGCAGGCGGUUUAAUAAGUCGAAUGUUAAAGAUCGGGGCUCAACCCCGCAAAGCAUUGGAAACUGAUAAACUUGAGUAGUGGAGAGGAAAGUGGAAUUCCUAGUGUAGUGGUGAAAUACGUAGAUAUUAGGAGGAAUACCAGUAGCGAAGGCGACUUUCUGGACACAAACUGACGCUGAGGUACGAAAGCGUGGGGAGCAAACAGG
rnacentral:rRNA from 1 species